AAUCCCUCCAAACAAAAGGGCGUUAAGCCUAAACUAAACCCUAACCUAAACAAUUGAUCCUCAAUAUAUGAAAUCUAAAAUAGAAAUUAAUCAGAAAAAUAUCAACAAUGAGGUGAGGUUAAGUGAAGUCAGGUGAAGUGAGGUGAGGUGAGGUGAGGUGAGGUGAGGUGAGGUGAAGUGAGGUGAGGUGAGGUGAAGUGAG